UACGUAGGGUGCGAGCGUUGUUCGGAAUUACUGGGCGUAAAGAGCGCGCAGGCGGUCGUUCAAGUCGCGUGUGAAAGCCCCCGGCUCAACUGGGGAGGGUCACGCGAUACUGAUCGACUGGAAGGCAGGAGAGGGUAGUGGAAUUCCCGGUGUAGUGGUGAAAUGCGUAGAUAUCGGGAGGAACACCAGUGGCGAAGGCGACUACCUGGCCUGUUCUUGACGCUGAGGCGCGAAAGCUAGGGGGAGCAAACGGGGAUUAAGA
rnacentral:rRNA from 1 species